CUCAGGACGAACGCUGGCGGCGUGCCUAACACAUGCAAGUCGAACGGAGAUACGGAUUAGCUUGCUAAACUGUAUCUUAGUGGCGGACGGGCGAGUAACGCGUGAGCAACCUGCCCUUCAGUGGGGAAUAACGGCUGGAAACGGUCGCUAAUACCGCAUAACAUAUCUUGGUGGCAUCAUCGAGAUAUCAAAGGAGCAAUUCGCUGAGGGAUGGGCUCGCGUCCGAUUAGUUAGUUGGUGGGGUAACGGCCUACCAAGGCGACGAUCGGUAGCCGAACUGAGAGGUUGAUCGGCCGCAUUGGGACUGAGACACGGCCCAGACUCCUACGGGAGGCAGCAGUGGGGGAUAUUGCACAAUGGGGGAAACCCUGAUGCAGCAACGCCGCGUGAGGGAAGAAGGUCUUCGGAUUGUAAACCUAAGUUGUCAGGGACGAACAGAUGACGGUACCUGAAGAGAAAGCUCCGGCUAACUACGUGCCAGCAGCCGCGGUAAUACGUAGGGAGCGAGCGUUGUCCGGAUUUACUGGGUGUAAAGGGUGCGUAGGCGGGUUUGCAAGUCAGGCGUGAAAUACCGGAGCUUAACUUCGGGGCUGCGCUUGAAACUGUAGAUCUUGAGUGAAGUAGAGGCAAGCGGAAUUCCUAGUGUAGCGGUGAAAUGCGUAGAUAUUAGGAGGAACACCAGUGGCGAAGGCGGCUUGCUGGGCUUUAACUGACGCUGAGGCACGAAAGCGUGGGGAGCAAACAGGAUUAGAUACCCUGGUAGUCCACGCCGUAAACGAUGAUAGCUAGGUGUGGGGGGACUGACCCCCUCCGUGCCGGAGUAAACACAAUAAGCUAUCCACCUGGGGAGUACGACCGCAAGGUUGAAACUCAAAGGAAUUGACGGGGGCCCGCACAAGCAGUGGAGUAUGUGGUUUAAUUCGAAGCAACGCGAAGAACCUUACCAGGUCUUGACAUCCGACUAACGAGGCAGAGAUGCGUUAGGUGCCCUUCGGGGAAAGUCGAGACAGGUGGUGCAUGGUUGUCGUCAGCUCGUGUCGUGAGAUGUUGGGUUAAGUCCCGCAACGAGCGCAACCCUUGUCCUUAGUUGCUACGCAAGAGCACUCUAAGGAGACUGCCGUUGACAAAACGGAGGAAGGUGGGGACGACGUCAAAUCAUCAUGCCCCUUAUGACCUGGGCUACACACGUACUACAAUGGCCGAGAACAGAGGGAAGCAACACCGCGAGGUGAAGCAAACCCCGAAAAACGGUCUCAGUUCAGAUUGCAGGCUGCAACUCGCCUGUAUGAAGUCGGAAUUACUAGUAAUCGCGGAUCAGCAUGCCGCGGUGAAUAC
rnacentral:rRNA from 1 species